GAAUUGACGGGGGCCCGCACAAGCGGUGGAGCAUGUGGUUUAAUUCGAUGCAACGCGAAGAACCUUACCUGGUCUUGACAUCCACGGAAGUUUUCAGAGAUGAGAAUGUGCCUUCGGGAACCGUGAGACAGGUGCUGCAUGGCUGUCGUCAGCUCGUGUUGUGAAAUGUUGGGUUAAGUCCCGCAACGAGCGCAACCCUUAUCCUUUGUUGCCAGCGGUCCGGCCGGGAACUCAAAGGAGACUGCCAGUGAUAAACUGGAGGAAGGUGGGGAUGACGUCAAGUCAUCAUGGCCCUUACGACCAGGGCUACACACGUGCUACAAUGGCGCAUACAAAGAGAAGCGACCUCGCGAGAGCAAGCGGACCUCAUAAAGUGCGUCGUAGUCCGGAUUGGAGUCUGCAACUCGACUCCAUGAAGUCGGAAUCGCUAGUAAUCGUGGAUCAGAAUGCCACGGUGAAUACGUUCCCGGGCCUUGUACACACCGCCCGUCACACCAUGGGAGUGGGUUGCAAAAGAAGUAGGUAGCUUAACCUUCGGGAGGGCGCUUACCACUUUGUGAUUCAUGACUGGGGUGAAGUCGUAACAAGGUAACCGUAGGGGAACCUGCGGUUGGAUC
rnacentral:rRNA from 1 species